GAAUGACAAAAAGCAACCUUGCAGGAAUGGAGGAAUCUGGUCCAGAGCUGUGCCCCUGCUUGCCACAGGAGCUGCGCGGGAGGAGAAGAACGUGGGCCAAAAGGAAUGGAGGAAUCUGUCCAGAGCUGUGCCCCUGCUUGCCACAGGAGCUGCGCGGGAGGAGAAGAACGUGGGCCAAAAGGUAAGAGGAGCUCCUUUGGGUUCUGGGCUUGAAGCAAAGCUGAGAAGCCAUGCCCGGGAGGAGGUGUGGGUAGCUACAGGCCACCUUGCUAUCUCCCCAAGAGAUGAGGUGUGUGGGCUAGGCACCGGGCAGGAGUGCUGGCCAGAAGCAAGCAUCUCUGUGGAGGAAGGCAAAGGGCGGAGGAGGUUCAAGGGUAGCUACCGGGCAUGGCCUUGCUCAGCAAGGGGAGGAAAAGCCUGAAGGGCACGAGAAGGGGAUAGAGAAGGGCAGGCAGUAGGCGUGAAGCUGCGAGCAGAGUAGAGAGCAACUUGGCAGAGCAGCAAGCAGAGUAGGCAAGUGUUGAGGUUUGGCGUGAGUAGCAGCAAAAGCCCAGAGCAUCAAGAAGCAGGAAGUGAGGAGAAGGUAAGUGAAGGGCAGGCAAGGUAAUGGGAGGCAAAGGCAAGGGG
ensembl:lncRNA